rnacentral:rRNA from 1 species
UACAGAGGUCCCGAGCGUUGUUCGGAUUCACUGGGCGUAAAGGGUGCGCAGGUGGGUUUGCAAGUUUGAUGUGAAAGCCCCGGGCUUAACCCGGGAAUGGCAUUGAAUACUGCAGAUCUGGAGGAUUGGAGGGGGGACUGGAAUUCUUGGUGUAGCAGUGAAAUGCGUAGAUAUCAAGAGGAACACCAGUGGCGAAAGCGAGUCCCUGGACAAUACCUGACACUGAGGCACGAAAGCCAAGGGAGCAAACAGG